ensembl:lncRNA
CAGUAUUUUUCAUUAAUAACAGAUUCUAGCCAUAAAAAUAAUAUUUGCUCAUUAGUUAAAAUCUGAGAAAUUCAGGAAGAUAUAAAAUAAACUAUGCCCACAGAGACUGCCAUUUCCAACGUAGUCAGCUUUCUUCCAGAUCUAUCCUAAAACAGGCCCAUUGUGAGUCAACCCUACCUUCUGGCUCCUUUGUAUUGCUGAGAACCUUUUCCUAUCCCAUGGAGCUUCCACCUAUCCAGGGAUUACCUAUGACUGCAUUAUGGGUUGUAACUGGCUGCAUCAAAUCAAACUCAAUCCUACCAGUGGCUCAGCCUUUCCCAUGGGUAACACACAGAUAUGUGAUAUUCGCAAGCCCAUUUAUGCUGAGGAGCAGAUAGCCUGGAAAGGCUCUGGUUUAUGCAGAUUUCCUCCAGCAUUGUCAUUGCUGGGUUCCUUUCCUCCCUACUUCAGACUGCAUUGUAAUGUAGGAGUAACACUGAAUAGAUCACCUGCACUUGCCCUGACCUGUGAAAUGAUGUUUAAAGUUGCUGCUUUCACUGUUAGUAACAAAUCAGUUCUAACACCCCUCACAACUGAUUUUGGUAUUUUGUGAUAUCUUAAAUGAUUAACACUAAAUUCAGCUAAUGUGGAUGUAAUGCACCAAUGAAUAUUCCUACUCUCAAAUGUUCCCUAAUUAUUUCUGUAAGAGAACUGGCUAAAAAGUAGAGUUAUUGAAAUGAAGGACAUUAAUUUAUCGUAUAAACUGCCAUGCUUACUCUUUCCAGAAAGCUUGUCCCAGUUUCUAAUCUCACAUUCUGAAAUACUGGGCUUUGGAAUCAAGUUUUUGUUUGGGAUGGCAGUGUUGGUUCAGCAUUGGAAGAUCUACCCCCAGAAGUCAUCAUUUUAACAGAGGAAAGGAAAAAGCCAUAUGAUCCUGUCACUAGUUGGAGAAAAAGUAUUGGACUAAAUUCUACAGCUGCUCAUGGUAAAAGCUAUCAGGAGACUAGAAGUAGAACAGAACCUUCUCAACAGAUCAAAG